rnacentral:piRNA from 1 species
UCCCAUCUGGUGACCCCACCAUGCGGCCUU